GAUGAACGCUGGCGGCGUGCCUAAUACAUGCAAGUCGAGCGAACAGACGAGGAGCUUGCUCCUCUGACGUUAGCGGAGCACGGGAGUGAAACACGUGGAAACUCCACCUAUAAGUCUGGGAACACUUCGGGAAACCGGCGCAAAUACCGUAUAAUAUACUGCACCGCAUGGGUCAAUAGUGAAAGACGGCUUUGCUGUCACGUAUAGAUGGAUCCGCGCCGCAUUAGCUGGUUGGUAAGGUACCGGCUUACCAAGGCGACGAUGCGUAGCCGACCUGAUAGGCUGAUCGGCGACACUAGAACGGAGACACGCACCAUACGACUACGAGAGGGAGCAGUAGGGAAUCUUCCGCAAUGGGGGAGAGCCUUACGCAGUAACGGGGCGCGAGUUGUGACGGUGUUGGGAUCGUAAUACUCGGUUAUUAGUUGUGAACAAAUGUGUAAGUAACUGUGCACGUAUUGACGGUACCUAAUCAAAAAGCCACGGCUAACUACGUG
rnacentral:rRNA from 1 species